UGCCAGCCGCCGCGGUAAUACGAAAGGGGCUAGCGUUGUUCGGAAUCACUGGGCGUAAAGCGUACGUAGGCGGUUAGGAAAGUCAGAUGUGAAAUCCCGGGGCUCAACCUCGGAACUGCAUUUGAAACUAUCUAACUAGAGUUCGGUAGGGGACAGUGGAAUUCCUAGUGUAGCGGUGGAAUGCGUAGAUAUUAGGAGGAACACCAGUGGCGAAGGCGACUGUCUGGGCCGAUACUGACGCUAAGGUACGAAAGCGUGGGGAGCAAACAGGAUUAGAUA
rnacentral:rRNA from 1 species